GAUAGAACUUGGGAACUUGCACUUGCAAGGCAGGUGGCAGAACCACUGAGCUAAAUCCCCAGCCGUGUAUUCUGUCAGAAUAAAUGACGUUUGAAAUAUCAAGGGUAGAAUGAAUAUCAGCAAGAGGAAAUCGUAGACCAAGAGGGAAGAUCUGAUUGAGUAUAAGGAACGCAUUAACACUGAAGAAAAUCAUGUUUUCUGGACUGGACACAAACUCAGGGCGCUGGGAGGAAACAGGAGUUGUAAACACACCUGUGGUGUUGAGGCAUUGGAGGAGAUGGGCAGUUUCCUCAGAGGCUGGCCUUGAACUCACAGUGAUCCUCCUGCCUCAGCCUCCCAAGUGCUGGGAUAAUAGGC
ensembl:lncRNA